rnacentral:rRNA from 1 species
AUAAGAGGUCCAGCCUGCCCAGUGACCUAGUUCAACGGCCGCGGUAUCCUAACCGUGCGAAGGUAGCGUAAUCACUUGUUCUUUAAAUGAGGACUAGUAUGAAUGGCACCACGAGGGUUAAACUGUCUCCUUUUUUUAAUCAGUGAAACUAAUCUCCCCGUGAAGAAGCGGGGAUUCUUUUAUAAGACGAGAAGACCCUAUGGAGCUUUAAACAAGUUAACACCUGCUACUAAUCUUCACUUUCCUGAACCACCACAUUAAGUAUAGCACCUCUGAUUAACAGUUUUCGAUUGGGGUGAUCAUGGAGCAAAAAUCAACCUCCACGACGAAAAGGAACACCUCCUUGAGCCAAAAGCUACAACUUUAAGCACUAAAAAACUAACGCACUUUGACCCAAUUCUUUGAGCAACGAACUAAGUUACCCUAGGGAUAACAGCGCAAUCCACUUUAAGAGCUCCUAUCGACAAGUGGGUUUACGACCUCGAUGUUGGAUCAGGGUAUCCCAGUGGUGCAGCCGCUACUAAAGGUUCGUUUGUUCAACGAUUAAAACCCUACGU